rnacentral:rRNA from 1 species
AGUGAACGCUGGCGGUAGGCCUAACACAUGCAAGUCGAACGGCAGCACAGUAAGAGCUUGCUCUUACGGGUGGCGAGUGGCGGACGGGUGAGGAAUACAUCGGAAUCUACUUUUUCGUGGGGGAUAACGUAGGGAAACUUACGCUAAUACCGCAUACGACCUACGGGUGAAAGCAGGGGAUCUUCGGACCUUGCGCGAUUGAAUGAGCCGAUGUCGGAUUAGCUAGUUGGCGGGGUGAAGGCCCACCAAGGCGACGAUCCGUAGCUGGUCUGAGAGGAUGAUCAGCCACACUGGAACUGAGACACGGUCCAGACUCCUACGGGAGGCAGCAGUGGGCAAUAUUGGACAAUGGGCGCAAGCCUGAUCCAGCCAUACCGCGUGGGUGAAGAAGGCCUUCGGGUUGUAAAGCCCUUUUGUUGGGAAAGAAAAGCAGCAGGUUAAUACCCCGCUGUUCUGACGGUACCCAAAGAAUAAGCACCGGCUAACUUCGUG